rnacentral:rRNA from 1 species
GAUGAACGCUGGCGGCGUGCUUAACACAUGCAAGUCGAACGGAAAGGCCCAAGCUUGCUUGGGUACUCGAGUGGCGAACGGGUGAGUAACACGUGGGUGAUCUGCCCUGCACUUCGGGAUAAGCCUGGGAAACUGGGUCUAAUACCGGAUAGGACCACAUUUUGGAUGGUGUGGUGGAAAGUUUUUCGGUGUGGGAUGAGCUCGCGGCCUAUCAGCUUGUUGGUGGGGUAAUGGCCUACCAAGGCGUCGACGGGUAGCCGGCCUGAGAGGGUGUACGGCCACAUUGGGACUGAGAUACGGCCCAGACUCCUACGGGAGGCAGCAGUGGGGAAUAUUGCACAAUGGGCGCCAGCCUGAUGCAGCGACGCCGCGUGGGGGAUGACGGCCUUCGGGUUGUAAACUCCUUUCGCUAGGGACGAAGCGUUAUGUGACGGUACCUGGAGAAGAAGCACCGGCUAACUACGUG